rnacentral:lncRNA from 1 species
GUUUCUAGAGCUCGGAGGCUGCUGGUAGGGGGGCACCACUUUCAGAUAAAAACAUAGACCUGAAUGGCAUCAUCCAGUAUCCAAGGAAACCAUGUAAGUACCUCUCUCACUGUGUACUUCUGUUAUUCAGAUCUUAAAACCUAGCUGAGUACUGAAUAAGUGAGUGUUUUUAUUUAAUAAUUAUAAGGGAGGUACUUUUUAGGAGCCUGCUAAAAAGAAACAGGUUCUUUAUUGUUAUGUGCGUCAUAACAAAACUCUCAUGUUUUCACCAUAUUUCAUAAAAUUAUGUGCUUAGUACCACUCUCUCCAUCAAUUCUCAUUCUUAGGUACAAAACAGCUACUCAAAAUCCUAAUGAAUUGGAAGUUUCAAACUUUUCCAAGACCCAAACAAUGUUUCAGAGUCCUUGUGCCGGGAGUACUUUCUUAAUUGUAGUUAAACUUGUUAAAUUUUAAAAAUUAAGAAAAAAUUCCUUGGAAAAUAAUGGUUUAUUGGUAAACAUGUAUGGCAAUUUAUUUGGCUGUAGGCUUGCUUGAAGAGUGAGCAGGUGAGCAAAGAGACAAGAUUACAUGUUUAAACCAAGAAAAGAAUCUUGAAAGUAAGUGUAAUGACCAAGAUGCAAAAA